UACGAGGGGGGCGAGCGUUGUUCGGAAUUAUUGGGCGUAAAGGGUGCGUAGGCGGUUCGGUAAGUUUCGUGUGAAAUCUUCGGGCUCAACUCGAAGCCUGCACGAGAUACUGCCGGGGCUUGAGUGUGGGAGAGGUGAGUGGAAUUUCCGGUGUAGCGGUGAAAUGCGUAGAUAUCGGAAAGGAACACCUGUGGCGAAAGCGGCUCACUGGACCACAACUGACGGCUGACGGCACGAAAGCUAAGGGGAGCAAACAGG
rnacentral:rRNA from 1 species